rnacentral:rRNA from 1 species
UACGGGGGGGGGUAAGCGUUGUUCGGAAUUACUGGGCGUAAAGGGCUCGUAGGCGGCCAACUAAGUCAGACGUGAAAUCCCUCAGCUUAACUGGGGAACUGCGCCUGAUACUGCUUGGCUUGAGGUCCGGAGGGGAGAGUGGAAUUCCCGGUGUAGCGGUGGAAUGCGUAGAGAUCGGGAAGAACAUCAGUGGCGAAGGCGGCCUGCUGGGCUGUUGCUGACGCUGAGGCGCGACAGCGUGGGGAGCAAACAGG